UUGUGCUUGCACAGAUGACGACCGGCGCACGGGUGCGUAACGCGUAUAGAACCUACCUUUUACAGAGGAAUAGCCUUUAGAAAUGAAGAUUAAUGCCUCAUAGUAUUGUAGACUGGCAUCAGUUUAUAAUUAAAGAUUUAUCGGUAAAAGAUGGCUAUGCGUCCUAUUAGUUAGUUGGUAAGGUAACGGCUUACCAAGACAGCGAUAGGUAGGGGUCCUGAGAGGGAGAUCCCCCACACUGGUACUGAGACACGGACCAGACUCCUACGGGAGGCAGCAGUGAGGAAUAUUGGACAAUGGAGGAGACUCUGAUCCAGCCAUGCCGCGUGUAGGAAGAAUGCCCUAUGGGUUGUAAACUACUUUUAUACAGGAAGAAACACUGGUAUGUAUACCAGCUUGACGGUACUGUAAGAAUAAGGACCGGCUAACUCCGUGCCAGCAGCCGCGGUAAUACGGAGGGUCCGAGCGUUAUCCGGAAUCAUUGGGUUUAAAGGGUCCGCAGGCGGUCGAUUAAGUCAGAGGUGAAAUCCCAUAGCUCAACUAUGGAACUGCCUUUGAUACUGGUUGACUUGAGUCAUAUGGAAGUAGAUAGAAUGUGUAGUGUA
rnacentral:rRNA from 1 species